rnacentral:rRNA from 1 species
UGUGCCUACGGGAGGCAGCAGUGGGGAAUAUUGCACAAUGGGGGGAACCCUGAUGCAGCGACGCCGCGUGGGUGAAGAAGUCAUUCGUGACGUAAAGCCCUAUCAGCAGGGAAGAAAAUGACGGUACCUGACUAAGAAGCCCCGGCUAACUAAGUGACAGCAGCCGCGGUAAUACGUAGGGGGCAAGCGUUAUCCGGAUUUACUGGGUGUAAAGGGAGCGUAGACGGCGGCGCAAGUCCGGAGUGAAAGCCCACGGCCCAACCGUAGGACUGCUCUGGAACCUGUGCGGAUUGAGGGCGGGAGGG